rnacentral:rRNA from 1 species
UACAGAGGUCUCAAGCGUUGUUCGGAUUCAUUGGGCGUAAAGGGUGCGUAGGCGGCGUGGUAAGUCGGGUGUGAAAUCUCGGAGCUUAACUCCGAAACUGCAUUCGAUACUGCCGUGCUUGAGGACUGGAGAGGAGACUGGAAUUUACGGUGUAGCGGUGAAAUGCGUAGAUAUCGUAAGGAAGACCAGUGGCGAAGGCGGGCUC